GAUGAAGAACGUAGCGAAAUGCGACAAGUAAUGUGAAUUGCAGAAUUCAGUGAAUCAUCGAAUCUUUGAACGCAUAUUGCGCUCUCUGGUAUUCCGGAGAGCAUGCUUGUUUGAGUAUCAGUAAACACCUCAACUUCCAUAUCUUUUUUGAAAUGGGAGUUGGACUUGAGUGAUCCCAACGCUUUUCCUCACCGAAAAGUGGCGGGUUACUUGAAAUGCAGGUGCAGCUGGACUUUUCUCUGAGCUAUAAGCAUAUCUAUUUAGUCUGCCUAAAAAACAGAUUAUUACCUUUGCUGCAGCUAACAUAAAGGAGAUUAGUUCUUGUGCUGACUGAUGCAGGAUUCACAAAGACGGCUUCGGCCGACUUUGUAAACUCGAUCUCAAAUCAAGUAAGACUACCCGCUGAACUUAAGCAUAUCAAUAAGCGGAGGA
rnacentral:misc_RNA from 1 species